rnacentral:rRNA from 1 species
CGGAUUGCAGCCUGCAACUCGGCUGCAUGAAGCUGGAAUCGCUAGUAAUCGCGGAUCAGAAUGCCGCGGUGAAUACGUUCCCGGGUCUUGUACACACCGCCCGUCACACCAUGGGAGUCGGGAAUGCCCGAAGUCAGUGACCCAACCGAAAGGGGGGAGCUGCCGAAGGCAGGCCUGGUAACUGGGGUGAAGUCGUAACAAGGUACC